AGGAUCAGCAUGACUGUAGUGUUCCUGGCUUAACCCUGAGAGGUUGCUGUUCCCAGUGACUAUCUAGGCUGAAGCCCAUGUAGGAUUUGAAGAGACUGAUCCAGGCUUUAUGAGUGGCUGCGACCAUGCUGUAUGUGUGUAUGUGUGUGUGUACACCGCCUAAGUGUGUUCAUUUCAGCCACAGCAAGAGUUAUGUUACAAGGAUAGCAUAGACAGCCCUGCCUAUUGCAAGAGUAAUGCAUCAGGUGUGAAACAGAUCUUUAAUGCUGUGUGAAGCAGGCUCUUUUAAGGUCAGCCAGACUUUCUGGGGAAAAAGAAACUAUUGCCUAACCCUUCAGGUCAUGGAGACUUAUGUUUUUGUGUUUUUCUCGCAGUUUUACAGUUUUAGCACCUACAUUUAAGUCUUUGAUCCCUUUUGUGUUCAUUUUUAUGGAUAGUGAGAAGUAGGGGUUCAAAUCCAUUUUUUUUUUCAUCUAGAUAUUCAGUUGUCCCAGAAUCAUUUGUUGAAAAAGCUCUUCUUUCCCCCAUUGAAUUGUCUUAGCACAUUUUUCAAACAUUACCCAACCACAAAUGUAAGGAUUUAUUUUUGGACACUCAGUUCUAUUUAACUGAUCUAAAUCUCUAUCCUUAUGGAAGUACCACUCUGUCUUGAUUAUUGUAGCUUUGUAGCAAGUUUUAAAAUUGGGAAGUGUGAGUCUUCUCACUUUGUUCUUCUUCUUUCAAAGUUGUAUUUGUUAUUUUGGGCCCUUUGCAUUUCUAUGUGAAUUUUGGGAUCAGCUUGUCCGUUUUUGCAAAAAGAAAAAAAAGGCAGUCAGGAUUUUGAUAGAGAUUGUGUUGAAUCUGUAGACUGAUUUGGGGAAAAUUGCCAUCAUCACAGUAUUAAUUCUUCUGGUCUAUGAAUGCAGGAUUUCUUUCCACUUAUUUAGGUCAUCUUUAAUAUAUCUGAACACUGUUCUGCAGUUUUUAGUGCACAGUUUUGUAUUUCUUUUGUUAAAUUCUCCUAAGUAUAUUUUAUGCUACUGUAAAUGGAAUUGUUUUCUUAUUUUAAUUUUCAGGGGAAAGUAAGAAAAUGGUCGGUCAUCACCUUCAGUCAUCAUCUCAGAUAGUGGGAUCAUGCUUGACUUUCCUUUAAGUUUUCUUUUUAAAACUGCAUUCUUCUUUUUUCCUUUUUUUUUUUUUUUUUGAGUCGCACAGGCUGGAGUUCAUUGCUAGUGUGUAGAAAUACAGUUGAUUUUUGUAUAUUGAUUUUGCACCCUGUAACCUUGCUGAACUCAUUUGUUAGCUUUCUGUGGAUUCUUCAGGAUUUUCUGUACUCAAAUUCAUGUCACCUGUGAAUAGAUGAUUUUACUUCCUUUCCGAUCUGGAUGCCUUUUCUUUCUUUUCCUUGCCUAAUUACCCUGGCCAAACCCUCCAGUGCAAGAUUCAGUAGAAGUCGUGAGAGCAGAUAUGCUUCUCUGGUUCCUGAUGUUGGGGGGAGGCAUUUCAUCUUUUACCUUUAAGGAUGUUUGUUGUGGGUUUUUGCUUGAUGCCUUUUAACUGUAAUCAGGUUGUGGAAAUUCCCUUGUAUUCCCAGUCUGUUGAGUGUUUUUAUCAUGAAAGGGUGUUGGAUUUUGUCAAAUGCUCUUUUCUGCAUCUCUUGAAAUGGUCAUGUGGUUUUUGUUCUUUAUUAAUAUACAGAUAAGUGUAUUACCUUGAUUAAUUUUCAUAUCCAAAGCAGCCUAGCGUUCCUCCUGAGAACUUCCAUGUCUCAAGUACAACUUUCAUUUUACAAUGACCCCCCUUGCUGUUGGGGCCACACCACCUUACAACUUGCCCAGCUCAGGAUGGCAAUUCUGACUGCAUGAUCGCUUGAUAUGUCUUGACCAGAUGCUCGGUUCUGACCAGAGCUCGGUAGCACACCUGGGGUGCUUUGUGGAUGAUGUGUGGUUCUUUGCGGGAGCUUGCAUGGCCUUGUUGUAGAACUCUAAGGGUUUUCAUAGUGACUCUCCUACAGGGGCUUGUCAGAAAGUCCAUAUGGUUCCUUUUUGGACCACAGAUAACUCUAGGGCUGUGAGAUCUGCUAGGUAUUGGGGUGCAGGCAUCGGGGCUGUUUGUACUGCAGCCUGGACUUGCUACAGAAUCCAUUAACUAACUGCUCACCCCAGUCAGAGCCAUCAGCUUUCCGUGUCUCUAGGUAAACAGAUUCAAGCAGUGUGACAAGCAUGGAAUAUGCUGCUUUCCAUAGACCUGUCAAGCAUUGCGUUUUGUUCUUAAUGGUACAAUGUACAAAAUGCAGUGUCUUGUUCUUUAUUUUUGAGAGGAUGCUGUAUCAUGUCUCAGACGACUGGAUUCCUAAAAACUCCCCAAAUGAAGCAGGUCCAAUUAGUAUGGUGUCACCAAUAUAUGGAUCCAUGCGAUUGAUUAUCUGUGGAGUGUCCGGAUGGUCCAGGACCCUUCAGAUUAUAUUACGAUGGAGAACAGGAAAAUUAACCAAAACCUGGGCAAGACUGCGAAUGUGUGCUACUAUCCAUCCCAGUUCUGGAGGCCGGAGUUGGAAAUCAGUUUCACUGGGCACACAUGGAGGUGUUUGAAGGGCUGCCCGUGCCAGAGGCUCUCAGGGAGAAUCCCUUCCUUGUCUGUUCCAGCUCUACCUCCUCCUCUGCUGUAUACAAAGACAAAGAAACAGGCAAAGAAACAUCUCUGACAUCAAGAUCAGGAAGUCACAGAGAGUACUUGAGUACACAUUCAGAAGUUUCAAGGAUUUUCUGUUCGUUUAUUAAACCUUAACAUUUGCUGUACAAGUUUUCAACAGGCCAAGGUUAAGUGAAGAAUGAAAAUAAUGUUUAACUCCAUUACAAAAGAGGAGGCUUUUGAUACAGACUUCAUAAUGUUCUUUGAGGAAGCAGGUAUAUGAGGUUUGUACAUUGAAUGGAUGUUCUAGAUUGAGCAAAAUACCCUCUAUGCACUCUCCUGCAGAGAGUGUGGGUGAAAUAGAAAUGUAUUUCUGGAUAGAAAGAGCAAUGUAUCACAUGCAUUCUGAAGAAGUCUAGCUGAGCAAAACCUUAAGAUUUCCUGUUGUUGCUGGACCGUAGACAUCAAUAUGACCGCUUAGCAUAAAGAUAAAGGUACCUCAGGGCCCAAGAAUAAAAAUUCCAUCGAGCACAACUCAGCGCUCUGAAAAUCUAGAUUUCCCUAAUCCCAGAGGGUGAGAGCCAAGGAGGAGCUCGUCCUGCCCAUUCCUGCCUUCCUCUAUCCCUGGCACUCACACCACAAGUUUGCUCUACUCUUAAACAAAAGCACCUGUGUUUUAAAAUUUUCAUUUUAAGUUCUGGGGUACAUGUGUAGGACAUGCAGGUUUGUUACAUAGGUAAACUUGUGCCAUGGUGGUUUGCUGCACCCAUCAACCCAUCACCUAGGUAUUAAACCGCACAUGCAUUAGCCAUUUGUCCUAAUGCUCUCCCUCCUGCCAACCCCCCACCCCCGACAGGUCCCAGUGUGUGUUGUUCCCCUCCCUGUGUCCAUGUGUUCUUACUGUUCAGCUCCCACUUAUGAGUGAGAACAUGCAGUGUUUGGUUUUCUGUUCCUGUGUUAGUUUGCUGAGGGUGAUGCCUUCCAGCUCCAUCCAUGUUCCUGCAAAGGACAUGAUCUCAUUCUUUUUUAUGGCUGCAUAGUAUUCCAUGGUAUAUAUGCAUCACAUUUUCUUUAUUCAUUCUAUCAUUGAUGGGCAUUUGGGUUGGUUCCAUGUCUUUGCUAUAGUGAAGAGUGCUACAAUGAACAUACACCUAUUUUUUUUUAACCCACAUUAUUUAUAGUCUUGUUUUCAGUAUUUUGGUAGGCAGUGCCUGGUCUGCUCCUCUCCUCCCUUCUCUGAGUUGCCCUUUUCCUCAAUUCUCUUUUACCAACUUUCCUUUUGCGAUCGUCUCUACUCUCCUUUUCUCUAUACUUCCCCUUCUUUUUCUCUUGGCCUCGACUUCUGAAUCCUGUGACAAUGGCGUGGGGGGUUUGGUGGAGAGAGGGGAACUAAAAGUGGAAAUGAGACACUGGGGAAUAAUCACAAGAAAGGAAACAAGACUUCCCAACUCUCCCCGGCUGUGAGCCCCACGACAUGGUUUCCACAUGAGCCUUCUCCCCACUUUUGGCUGCCUCCCUGACACGUUUCCAAGGAGACCUUUCCAAGUCAAGGCCGCAGCUCCCAAAGUAUUGAAGCACAAACCCAGCCCACUUCCAAUAAAUCAUCCUCUACAUACAGUUGUCUGGUUUGUAUCAGAAUGUCCUUGGGAUUCCUGUAAUGCUUGUCUCCAGAGUCACUUAGCCAGCAUUUUGGCUAGUUUUUGUUUUUGUUUUUUUUUUUCUGAUACUCUGGUUGCAUAAAGUUAAACAGGGUUUGCAAAAUGUAAUUUCAUUAUAUGAACAACAAGUUCUAUACACUGAUGAAUAACUUGGUUUUAUGUGGGCACUUAAUUCCCAGUCUAGUGCUAAGUCUUUAUCUUAAUUUUAACUUUUAAGGCAAACAAUGCAAGGCAUCAUCUUUUGAGUGGGAAAGAGGAAAAGCAUUUUAAUGAAUGAGUUCUUGGUUGGGCGCAGUGGCUCACUCCUGUAAUCCCAGCACUUUUGGAGACUGAGGCAGGAGGAUCGCUUGAGCUCGGGAGUUCAAGACCAGCCUGGGAAACAUGGUGAAACCCCGCCUCUACACAAAAAUUAAAAAAUUAGCCGGGGAGGGGGAUUGAUUGUGUGCAUUUGCAGCUGAGCUGCAGUGAGUCCCAGCUACUCGGGAGGCUGAGGGGGGAAGAUUGUUUGAGCCUAGGAGGGUGAGGCUGCAGUGACUUAUGAUCCUGCCACUGCACUCCAGCCUGGGCAAUAGAGUGAGACUCUCCAAAAAAAGAAAAAUAGAAUGAAUAAUGAAUGAGUUCUUGAAAGGAGAGAUGUAGCUGGGCACAGUGGCUCACAUGCUUGUAAUCCCAGCACUUUGGGAGGAUAAAGCAUGUGCAUCACCUGAGGUCAGGCAUGGUGGCGGGUGCCUGUAAUCCCAGCUACUUGGGAGGCUGAGGCAGGAGAAUUGCUUGAACCCAGGAGGCUGAGGUUGCAGUGAGCCGAGAUCACACCACUGCACUCCGGCCUGGGUUACAAGAGUGAAACUCUGCCAAAAAGAAAGAAAGAAAGAGAGAGACAGAGACAGAGAGAGAGAGAAAAGAAGGAAGGAAGGAAGGAAGGAAGGAAGGAAGGAAGGUAGGAAGGAAGGGAGAGAGAGAGAGAAAGAAAGAAAGGAGAGAUGUGAAAAAUAUGUUUAAGAAUUUCUCAUACAUUCAUGUCUGAAAGGAAUCAUUUUAUUCAUCCCUCUUUCAUGGAUGAAGACAUUGAGGCCCAGGUGUGGUAAAAUUUGCCCGAAGUAGCCCGUGAGUCCGUGAGAUGUCCUGCUCCCAUCUGGAGAGGAGGAGACACGCACAGCCGUCUCCACCACAAGCCGGAUUCCAGACACUGAUCCUGCCACCACCACCCCAGUCUUCUGUCUGUCCCUCUCAGCAUGGCAGUCAUGUACCCUGGCACAAUUUCUGUGAAAAUCCCCUAAACCAAGCUUGUCUAACCUGUGACCCACAGGCCGCAUGCAGCCCAGGAUGGCUUUGAAUGCAGCUGAACACACAUUUGUAAACUUUCCUAAAACAUGAAUUUUUUCGCAUUUA
rnacentral:lncRNA from 1 species